rfam:Schistosoma haematobium scaffold480_4, whole genome shotgun sequence.
GUCCAGCUGAUGAAUUCAAAAUAGGACAAAGCGCGCGUCCUGGAU